CCUACGGGGCGCUGCAGUGGGGAAUAUUGCACAAUGGGCGCAAGCCUGAUGCAGCCAUGCCGCGUGUGUGAAGAAGGCCUUCGGGUUGUAAAGCACUUUCCGCGGGGAGGAAGGCGGUGAGGUUAAUAACCUCAUCGAUUGACGUUACCCGCAGAAGAAGCACCGGCUAACUCCGUGCCAGCAGCCGCGGUAAUACGGAGGGUGCAAGCGUUAAUCGGAAUUACUGGGCGUAAAGCGCACGCAGGCGGUCUGUCAAGUCGGAUGUGAAAUCCCCGGGCUCAACCUGGGAACUGCAUUCGAAACUGGCAGGCUAGAGUCUUGUAGAGGGGGGUAGAAUUCCAGGUGUAGCGGUGAAAUGCGUAGAGAUCUGGAGGAAUACCGGUGGCGAAGGCGGCCCCCUGGACAAAGACUGACGCUCAGGUGCGAAAGCGUGGGGAGCAAACAGGAUUAGAUACCCUAGUAGUC
rnacentral:rRNA from 1 species